rnacentral:miRNA from 1 species
UGAGGCAGGAGAAUUGCUUGAACCCAGGAGGCGGAGGUUGCAGUGAGCCAAGAUCGUGCCACUGUACUCCAGCCUGGGUGACAACAGCGAGACUCCAUCUCA